rnacentral:misc_RNA from 1 species
GUUUUACGUUUUCGUAUUGCCAGUAUCCAAAAAGGGACUGUGAUUGCAAUAAUAAUGUUUUGCGACCCUUAUUCUCGCCAAUGUUAGUUACUACCGACAAAUAAUUUAAUCCCAGUUCCUCAUGCGUCACACCGAACAAUUAACAAGAAAAACGUGUCUGUAGCUAGAUAAGGUAUAAGAAAAACCAUGGCUGAGCCCAAUGGGAUGGCCUUUCCCCAUGGAAAACUACCACCAAUGCAUUUCAACGGUUUACACUCAAACAGCUCUUCGAGAGGGGCCUCUCCUGUCUCCAGAGCAGGAUUAAUACCCUCCUCGCAACUACCCCCAAGCAGGACCAGCAUACCGCAGUCACAGUUACCCCCAAUGAGAUCCACAACGGGAGGAUUAACCCAUAAAGUUGAUCAGCUAAGUAUCUCUGGCCAAAAUACUCCUAAUAUAAGUCCAAGCAGGUUUAGUGCGUCCACCCCAAACCAGGAAGGUUUACACAAACCCACUUUUAGUGAAAACUCAUCCCCUAUAGUGCCAACAAACCAUUUAGAUAAUGUGCCAUUAAAAGACAAUGCUUUGGACAAUGAAAAUAAAAAUGUGAACCCUAGUGCAGUGACCUCUUUAGGGCAAACGAGUCAAUAUUUCAGUCAAAGCUCCAGUCAGAGUAGUACUUUUGAAUCACAAUUGAAUGGCCCCACUAUUACCCCAAGUGUAUCACAGACCAUAAGCCAGCCACAUCUACAACAAACCACCACUACUAGUCAAACAAACAAUUCUACACAACACUAUUUUCAGUCUCAAAAUGUAGGGCAAGAGGCUCUAUUUAAUAUUCAACAAAGUGCACCACCACCUCAAAUAAGAAAUGUUCCUCAACAACCUUAUGGUGUAGCAACUCAGCAGAAUGUGGUGCAAAGUACUCCACAACCGAUGCAAACUGUUUCAAACUCUAAUAUUGCCAGUUCAAGUAGUAAUUGGCCCCAGCAGAGUGUUGUAGGGAGAAAUACUCCUCAAAAUUUAUUUGGACAGGGCCAACCGCCUUUUAGUGUCGGAAUUACUGCCAGUAGUUCAGUACAGCAGGCACAAAGUGUUAUGAGUCAACAGGUGAGACCUCCUCAGCCCCCAAACUCAGUUCAAAAUGGCCCUCAAAGCACACCCAUGCAACAACCACCUAAAAUAGGCCAGACACUCCCAACUCAAAAUCCUCCCACAAACUUCCCUUUUAAUUCAAAUCAAAAUAUCCAGCCCCAAAAUCCACUCACAAACCUCCCAUUCAGUUCCAAUCAAAAUGUCCAACCCAAAAACCUCCCAUUUAAUUCUAAUAAUAGUUCCCAAAACCCCCCCACAAUCCCUCCAUUUAGUUCUAAUCAAAAUAUGCACCCUCAAAAUCCUCCGAUCAGCUCAUAUCAAAAUAUCUCUGCCCAACAGAGACCUCCAAACCCCACUACUGUACCACCAAAUGUUGCUCAACUGCCUCCACAGGUUCAAAAACCACCACUAAACCAAAGGCCCAGAUAUCCACAGACUUUACCCCCUGGUCCUCCGCAAACCAGUCAGUUCAAUAGUGGAUUACCUCAAAGAGUUUCACCUUACAAUAACCAAGGACCUCCGCCAGCCCCCUCACAAAGGUUCAAUCCCCAAAUAAAUUACAAUGUGGGACCUUCAGUACAAAAUCAACCUGGCCAAGUGAAUUAUGGAGCGAACGGACCUCAGUCAUUGCCUCCAAUGAUCAAUAAUAGAUAUCCAACUGCUCCAAAUGGCCCCUCGCAGAUUCCACCCGGUGGAGUGGUAAAAACUGGAUUUAAUCGCCUCUGGGGUGCGGACCAUUACAAUUUACUGGAAACCCCGGAAAUUUUACCGCCGACCAAAUUGGAAACGCCCAAAGUGCAUUUGGGCCAAGAACAAUUAAAUCAGGCGAACUGUAGCACCGAAGUGUUCCGUUGCACCGUGACGAAAAUCCCGGAAUCCGCGUCGCUUUUGCAAAAAUCCCGGCUGCCCUUGGGACUUUUGAUUCAUCCGUUUAAAGAUUUGAGUUACUUGCCGGUGAUUCAGUGUAACGUGAUCGUGAGAUGUCGCUCCUGUCGCACCUAUAUUAAUCCGUUCGUUUACUUUGUGGACUCCAAAAGGUGGAAGUGUAAUCUUUGCUUUAGGGUGAACGAGUUGCCCGAGGAGUUCCAGUAUGAUCCGGUCAGUAAGACUUAUGGGGAUCCCAGUAGGCGCCCAGAGAUUAAGAGCAGUACUAUCGAGUAUAUUGCGCCUGCUGAGUAUAUGUUGAGGCCACCUCAACCUGCUGUUUAUAUGUUUUUGUUGGAUGUGUCGAGGUUGGCCGUGGAUAGUGGAUACUUGGAAAUUUUAUGUGCUGUUUUACUGGAGGAACUCAAAAAUUUACCGGGUGAUGCAAGAACCCAGAUAGGCUUCCUAGCCUAUGACUCUGCCCUACAUUUCUUCUCCCUAGCGGAAGGGUUAAAUCAGCCCCACGAAAUGACGGUUUUAGAUGUGGACGAUGUGUUUCUACCCACCCCCGAUAACCUCCUGGUUAACCUGAAAGACCGCAUGGAAAUGGUGGAGGAUUUACUGAAACUGUUACCCUCUCGUUUCAGUAACAGUUAUGACGAUUGCAGUGCCUUAGGGGCUGCUUUACAGGUGGCACACAAAAUGAUGGGACCAACAGGUGGCAGGGUGUCAGUGUUCCAAUCGGCCCUUCCCAACACAGGACCGGGCGCAGUCACCUCCAGGGAAGACCCCAACCAAAGAUCAACCGCGGAAACCGCCAUGCUGAACCCCAUAAACGAUUUUUAUAAGAGACUCGCCCUCGAAUGCUCCGGCCAACAAAUUGCCGUCGAUUUAUUCGUUCUUAACUCGCAGUACGUGGACAUGGCCACCAUCAGUGGCAUUAGCAGAUUCAGUGGAGGUUCGGUACAUCAAUUUCCGUUAUUCAAAUCCACCAGACCCUUACUAGUCGAUCAAUUCCAAAAGGACCUGCGAAGAUACCUGACGAGGAAAAUCGGGUUUGAGGCCGUAAUGAGGGUCAGGUGUACUCGUGGGAUGGCAAUUCAUACUUUCCAUGGAAAUUUCUUUGUGAGGUCCACUGAUCUUCUUUCGUUGCCGAAUAUUAACCCGGACGCCGCCUUUGGUAUGCAAGUGGCCAUAGAGGAGAACUUAACUGAUUCUCAGUCGGUUUGUUUUCAAGCCGCGCUUUUGUAUACGUCCAGUAAAGGUGAAAGAAGAAUCAGAGUUCACACAUUGUGCCUACCGAUCGCUAACACCUUGCAUGACGUAAUUCAUUCCGCAGACCAGCAGUGCAUUAUUGGUCUAUUAGGAAAAAUGGCCGUAGAUAGAUCGACGCAGUCGUCGUUAUCGGACGCCCGCGAAGCGUUCAUAAAUGCCGCCGUGGACGUUUUGACGUCAUACAAGUUUUCGUUGAAUAUGGGCAGCGCCACUUCGGGACUCCUAGCCCCCGAAAGUCUUAAAUUGUUGCCGCUGUAUAUCGCCGCUAUUUUAAAACAUCCGGCUUUUAGAAUAGGAACACCGACAAGGUUAGACGACCGAGUAAAAGCAAUGAUAGACAUGAAAACCCUUCCGUUACCGUUGCUAAUUCAACAAAUUUACCCCGACCUCUACCCCAUACACAACUUAGAAGACCAAUCGGUGAUUUUAAACAGCGAGGAGGAAGACGUGCCGCUACCACCCAGACUCCACCUGAGCUCCCGCAGUCUUUCGAACAAAGGAGCGUUCCUGUUGGACUCCGGGGAUCACAUGAUGAUCCUGGUGGGCCCCAAUGUCUCCAGAGAGUUCCUAACCGACGGCUUAGGGGUCCCAGACUACCAGUCGAUCGGAGACAGCAUGAUCGAAAUCCCCGUACUGGAAAAUCCGACCAACAAGAGGCUGAAUUUGUUCAUAAAUUAUUUGAACGAAGAAAAACCGUACGGAUUAUCGUUGCAAGUGAUAAGGGACAACAGUCCGCACCGCGGGUUAUUUAUCGGGAGAUUAAUCGAGGACAGGAUGGAGAAUUCGUUGAGUUAUUACGAGUUUUUGCAGCAUUUAAAGACGCAAGUGAAAUAGCGGAGCGACAAGCGGGUUUUUUGGCAAACGGUCGGCGAGUUUGCCGGCGGCAGGUGAAUUUUGCCAAAAAGCUGUGGAUUAUAAUCUUAAGGUGCGUGUAUAUUAGUUUAGAUAAUUAAAACGAAAAAAAAAACUAUUUAAAGACUUGUUAUAUGGCUUAGGAAAAACUGUUGUUACAAAUAAAAAAAUUGUUUUGCAGAGUAUAACCACGUUCUGCUCAAUUUUUUUUUACGAAAACACUACUGUAUAUAGGAACAAUUUACUCUUUGGUUGGUUUGUUUAGGGCUUGAAUUUAAAACCGGUCUGAUAUAUAUUUUAUUGUUUUCUUUAUUCUACACGUAAAAUUUGCUUAUAUUGGCCCAUACAUAGUUAAGAGUGACUGUUUUAGGUAUAACGUUUAUUGUUCUUUUAAAAUAUAUUGAUGUAUUUUAAUUUUAGAUGCAUUUUUGUCACAUAUUCACCCUGCGGUUAUAUGGUCUUUUUUUUUUGUUAGUUUAUUAUUAUUAUUAUAAUUAUUGAUAUUUUAAUUAUUGUGAUAUAAUAUAUUAUAUUUCUUUGUUCUAUGGAAGGAAGAAUCAUUAAAGUAGCAAUAAUUUU